GACGAACGCUGGCGGCGUGCCUAAUACAUGCAAGUAGGACGCAGUUGCGAACGGGUGAGUAACGCGUAGGUAACUGCCUAUUAGAGGGGGAUAACUAUUGGAAACGAUAGCUAAUACCGCAUACUAGUAGAUGGACCUGCGUUGUAUUAGCUAGUAGGUAGGGUAAUGGCCUACCUAGGCGACGAUACAUAGCCGAGCUGAGAAGGUGGACGGCCAAACUGGGAAUGGGAAACGGGCCCGACUCCCUAGGGGGGCAAGAGGUGGGAAUCAUCGGAAAUGGGGGGAAACCCUGACGAGCAAAGCCGGGGGAGGGGAAGAGGGUUUCGGGGUUGAAAAGUCUGUUGUUAAAGGAGCGGUACUUAAACAGAAAGGGACGGCUAACUACGUGCCAGCAGCCGCGGUAAUUC
rnacentral:rRNA from 1 species